AUACGUAGGUGGCAAGCGUUGUCCGGAAUUAUUGGGCGUAAAGCGCGCGCAGGCGGUCCUUUAAGUCUGAUGUGAAAGCCCACGGCUCAACCGUGGAGGGUCAUUGGAAACUGGGGGACUUGAGUGCAGAAGAGGAAAGUGGAAUUCCAAGUGUAGCGGUGAAAUGCGUAGAGAUUUGGAGGAACAACAGUGGCGAAGGCGACUUUCUGGUCUGUAAAUGACGCUGAGGCGCGAAAGCGUGGGGAGCAAACAGGAUUAGAUACCCUGGUAGUCCACGCCGUAAACGAUGAGUGCUAAGUGUUAGGGGGUUUCCGCCCCUUAGUGCUGCAGCUAACGCAUUAAGCACUCCGCCUGGGGAGUACGGCCGCAAGGUUAAAACUCAAAUGAAUUGGCGGGG
rnacentral:rRNA from 1 species